CUCGGCGCGGCUCGGCCGCUCGUAGCCGCCGUAGCCGCUGGCUGAGCCGAACAGGUCCCAAGCGCCCUGCGGCGAGCCGGGCUCGGGAGUUAAUACAUUUGGGAACUUCCUGGGAAAGUGUUUAGAGGCACCAUGACAAGCUCCCAAGGACCUCCCUUUGUCCAAGAGGAAAAGAAAUGGUCUCCUGGGCUGUUUAUAAACUCUCACAUUCCCACCUUGUGUGAGAACAGUCGUCUGAAAAACCAGCUCUUAAAAUCAUGACACACCAUCCUCUAGACCUGCUGUUUUUAAAAUGUUAGUUGUGCUUUUGAUGUUCUUUUUUAAGUUGCUUGGAUAGGAAGCGUUUCAUCAUCAUUAUAUAACAUGGAAAUGGCACUCUGGAAAUGACAUUUAACUUUGUCCCAAAUACAGGCAGGAAAUAUUUAUCAAACACUUCUUCUUUG